ensembl:lncRNA
CAGUAGGUCAAACCAGCAACCGGUUUAACUGAAGAGUAACCAAAGAUUAAAAAUUAUUUCGUGAAUGGACACUCUUGGAGGGUUACUGAGCAACGUCAGCCUGGCUUAAUUAAUAUUCAUAAGCUAAACCUUCGCCAUAGUAAGAUUUUCUGAUUCUGGUCCCAGACACAAUUUAUUCCGCAUGUGGUCAAAGGAACCAGUCGGUGGCGCUUCAGCGCAACAUGUACAAAUAUGAUAUGUCUACAGCAGCCAGAUGGAUAAUUCAUUAAUAACGAGCACAUGGGGUCGCUCUGACUAAAACAGCAUACAUGGAGGAUUUCAAAAGGCUUGCGCAUUAAAGAGGCUCACUGUUCCACCGCGUAUUAUUGACUUUUUCCCUUCGUCCACUUUUGCGCAAAGGGAGAAUGUUGUAAGCGGUCCCUGUGGAUAUACUGUGUCUUCAUGAGGAGUUGAGCGCAAAUAAGGGGGCGGGUGAUGAUAAUGUGUGAAGAGUGGCAGCAACUUCUCACUACACGGCAACAUUUUCCGUUCUUCUUCAGGCGAUAUGCCCAUUCUUUCUAAAGAAGCUCCGAGGAGGAAGGCUGGUGGUGGACAUGGUGAAAAUGACAGGCAAUGACGUUAUAGGCGGUGUUUGUGUGUGAAGGUGCGUAAUGAAACUGAUUGUGGACAGUCUACUGAUGCAGCAUAAUGGUCCAAUGAUCUACAACAAAACAGAGAGAGCUUUGGUGAGAAGUAAGCCAAUACUUGACUACCACAAUAUUAAUUUCUUGCUACAAAUGAAAUCAAAAGUUGAAAAAGUCAGAAACAUGCAUUUACAAAUACCGCAGCUUUCAGACACCAUUUUAUUUAUUUAUUUAUUUUAGCCCAACUGUCACAAAUGUGCCCAGGAUAGUGGGAUAUUAGUGAAGGAUGUGACCCAAUCAUUGGAUUUGGACAAGCCUUGUUUCCUCCAUAUGCUGCAUGCGGAAAAGUAUGGUUGAUCUGUAUUUUGUUGCAAAAUGCAAAGACAUUUCUACAUUUUUAGGGUCUAUUAUGUGUAUAUAUAUAGAUAUAUAUGCACUACCAGUCAAAAGUUUGGAAUAAGUCUUUAUUUUUCAUAUUUUUGAAAGAAGUGCCUUAUGCUCACCAAGUCUGCAUUUAUUUGACCCAAAAAUACUUAAAAUAUUACUACAAUUUAAAAAGAAGUUUUUUUCUAUUUUAAAAUUAAAUUUAUAUGAUGUAAAACCUGAAUUUUCAGAAACCAUUUCUCCAGUAUUCAGAGUCACAUGGUCAUACAGAAACACAUAUUAUAUAUAAUAAUAUUUGAUCACAUAAAUGCAGUCUUGUUGAGCAUAAGAGACUUCCUUCAAAAACAGUUCAAAAACUUAGUGAUUACUGGUAGUGUACAUUUAUAAUAUGCACUCACCUGCCAAGCAAAAAUGCAAGUAGCCCUGAUUAAAAAAAAAAAAAAAAAACCUUUCUGUUCUCACAUUUGUAAAG